UACGGGGGGAGCAAGCGUUGUUCGGAUUUACUGGGCGUAAAGGGCGCGUAGGCGGUCGUGACAAGUCACUUGUGAAAUCUCCGGGCUUAACUCGGAACGGUCAAGUGAUACUGUCGGACUAGAGUACAGAAGGGGCAACUGGAAUUCUCGGUGUAGCGGUGAAAUGCGUAGAUAUCGUGAGGAAGACCAGUGGCGAAGGCGGGUCUCUGGACAGUUCCUGACACUGAGGCACGAAGGCCAGGGGAGCAAACGGG
rnacentral:rRNA from 1 species